GAUGAACGCUGGCGGCGUGCCUAAUACAUGCAAGUCGAGCGAACGGACGAGAAGCUUGCUUCUCUGAUGUUAGCGGCGGACGGGUGAGUAACACGUGGAUAACCUACCUAUAAGACUGGGAUAACUUCGGGAAACCGGAGCUAAUACCGGAUAAUAUUUUGAACCGCAUGGUUCAAAAGUAAAAGACGGUCUUGCUGUCACUUAUAGAUGGAUCCGCGCUGCAUUAGCUAGUUGGUAAGGUAACGGCUUACCAAGGCAACGAUGCAUAGCCGACCUGAGAGGGUGAUCGGCCACACUGGAACUGAGAUACGGUCCAGACUCCUACGGGAGGCAGCAGUAGGGAAUCUUCCGCAAUGGGCGAAAGCCUGACGGAGCAACGCCGCGUGAGUGAUGAAGGUCUUCGGAUCGUAAAACUCUGUUAUUAGGGAAGAACAUAUGUGUAAGUAACUGUGCACAUCUUGACGGUACCUAAUCAGAAAGCCACGGCUAACUACGUG
rnacentral:rRNA from 1 species